rnacentral:rRNA from 1 species
UACGAAGGGGGCUAGCGUUGUUCGGAUUUACUGGGCGUAAAGCGCACGUAGGCGGACUAUUAAGUCAGGGGUGAAAUCCCGGGGCUCAACCCCGGAACUGCCUUUGAUACUGGUAGUCUUGAGUUCGAGAGAGGUGAGUGGAAUUCCGAGUGUAGGGGUGAAAUUCGUAGAUAUUCGGAGGAACACCAGUGGCGAAGGCGGCUCACUGGCUCGAUACUGACGCUGAGGUGCGAAAGCGUGGGGAGCAAACAGG